rnacentral:tRNA from 1 species
AGCCCCGAGGUGAUUUAUCACAUUGAAUUGCAAAUUCAAAGGAGCAGCUUCAAUUCUGCCCGGGCUU